UUUAAUCAUGGGUUAGUUUAGGGGAGGUAUGUUUAAUUACGCUAAAAUGAUAGGAUUUAUUGUAUUUUUACCAAAUUUCAAGAGAAAUCAGUUUUAUUAUUAUUAUUUUUGUUAUUCCACUAUCUCCUCUUCUUCUUUUUAAGUCAAUUAAUAGAAAAUAAUUUGCAAAUAUCAAGAGGCAGACAUUUAUCAUUUCACUAUGUAAAAAAGUUUUACCACUUUAUGUGCUUAAAAAAAUAAAAAAACUAAAAAAACCAACUUUUGACAAAGAGAUCAAUCAAAGCCAUCUGUCUAAUGAAAUUUCUUGUUUUCAAUUUUAUAUAGCUACACAAUCAAGUAUUCAAAAACUAGGUAUCGUUUGACGUAUGCAACUGUACUGGGAGCAGGGCACUCACCUCAAGAGUACAAGCGUAGAGAAUGUUAUGAGAUGUACCAAAGGUGGAUCCAUUACUAUCCUCUCUAGUAGUUUCUUUAAGCCAAUAUUUUUGUGAGAUGUUCCAGAACUUAUUACAAUACCAUCCUCUCUUAGUGAACUUUUGUGAAUCUAAUUGUAUUCAAAUUUUCUUCCUUCCAAUGGUUCAUUGUCAUAAUUAACUUGUA